rnacentral:rRNA from 1 species
ACGGUGAGGGAUGAAAGCUGGGGGAGCAAACCGGAUUAGAUACCCGGGUAGUCCCAGCUGUAAACGAUGCAGCCUAGGUGUUUGGACGGCCACGUGCCGUUCUAGUGCCGCAGGAAAGCUGUUAAGCCUGCCGCCUGGGGAGUACGAUCGCAAGAUGAAACUUAAAGGAAUGGCGGGGAGCACACAAGAGGUGAAGCUUGYGGUUUAUUG